UCAAGUAAUUAAGUGCAUGUGGUGGAUGCCUUGGCAGUCAGAGGCGAUGAAAGACGUGAUAGCCUGCGAAAAGCUCCGGGGAGGCGGCAAAUAUCCUUUGAUCCGGAGAUGUCUGAAUGGGGGAACCCACCUACUUUAAGGUAGGUAUUGCAACAUGAAUACAUAGUGUUGCAAGGCGAACGAGGGGAAGUGAAACAUCUCAGUACCCUUAGGAAAAGAAAUCAAUUGAGAUUCCCUCAGUAGCGGCGAGCGAACGGGGAUCAGCCCAUUAAGUUAUGUGUGUUUUAGUGGAACGCUCUGGGAAGUGCGAACGUAGAGGGUGAUAUUCCCGUACACGAAAGGGCACACAUAAUGAUGACGAGUAGGGCGAGGCACGUGAAACCUUGUCUGAAUAUGGGGGGACCAUCCUCCAAGGCUAAAUACUCCUGACUGACCGAUAGUGAACCAGUACCGUGAGGGAAAGGCGAAAAGAACCCCUGUGAGGGGAGUGAAAUAGAUCCUGAAACCGCAUGCAUACAAGCAGUGGGAGCACCUUCGUGGUGUGACUGCGUACCUUUUGUAUAAUGGGUCAGCGACUUAUAUUCAGUAGCGAGGUUAACCGUAUAGGGGAGCCGUAGAGAAAUCGAGUCUUAAUAGGGCGUUUAGUUGCUGGGUAUAGACCCGAAACCAGGCGAUCUAUCCAUGAGCAGGUUGAAGGUUGGGUAACACUAACUGGAGGACCGAACCCACUGUCGUUGAAAAGCCAGGGGAUGACUUGUGGAUAGGGGUGAAAGGCUAAUCAAGCCUGGUGAUAGCUGGUUCUCCCCGAAAGCUAUUUAGGUAGCGCCUCGGACGAAUACCAUAGGGGGUAGAGCACUGUUUCGGCUAGGGGGUCAUCCCGACUUACCAAACCGAUGCAAACUCCGAAUACCUAUGAGUACUAUCCGGGAGACAGACUGCGGGUGCUAACGUCCGUAGUCAAGAGGAAAACAAUCCAGACCGCCAGCUAAGGCCCCAAAAUCAUAGUUAAGUGGGAAACGAUGUGGGAAGGCAUAGACAGCUAGGAGGUUGGCUUAGAAGCAGCCACCCUUUAAAGAAAGCGUAAUAGCUCACUAGUCGAGUCGGCCUGCGCGGAAGAUGUAACGGGGCUAAAACUAUGUGCCGAAGCUGCGGAUGUAUACUUUGUAUACGUGGUAGGGGAGCGUUCUGUAAGCCGAUGAAGGUGUGUUGAGAAGCAUGCUGGAGGUAUCAGAAGUGCGAAUGCUGACGUGAGUAACGACAAAACGGGUGAAAAACCCGUUCGCCGAAAGACCAAGGGUUCCAGUCCAACGUUAAUCGGGGCUGGGUGAGUCGACCCCUAAGGCGAGGCCGAAAGGCGUAGUCGAUGGGAAAAUGGUUAAUAUUCCAUUACUUCUGUGUAAUGCGAUGAGAGGACGGAGAAGGCUAAAUCAGCCUGGCGUUGGUUGUCCAGGUGAAAGGAUGUAGGCAUGUAUCUUAGGCAAAUCCGGGGUACUCUAUGCUGAGAUCUGAUAGCAAGCUGUACUUGUACAGCGAAGUGGUUGAUGCCAUGCUUCCAGGAAAAGUCUCUAAGCUUCAGUUACACAGGAAUCGUACCCGAAACCGACACAGGUGGUCAGGUCGAGUAGACCAAGGCGCUUGAGAGAACUCUGCUGAAGGAACUAGGCAAAAUGGUACCGUAACUUCGGGAGAAGGUAC
rnacentral:rRNA from 1 species